rnacentral:rRNA from 4 species
AAUCCAUAGGUUAAUGAGGCGAACCGGGGGAACUGAAACAUCUAAGUACCCCGAGGAAAAGAAAUCAACCGAGAUUCCCCCAGUAGCGGCGAGCGAACGGGGAGGAGCCCAGAGCCUGAAUCAGCAUGUGUGUUAGUGGAAGCGUCUGGAAAGGCGCGCGAUACAGGGUGACAGCCCCGUACACAAAAGCGCAUGUGCUGUGAGCUCGAUGAGUAGGGCGGGACACGUGGUAUCCUGUCUGAAUAUGGGGGGACCAUCCUCCAAGGCUAAAUACUCCUGACUGACCGAUAGUGAACCAGUACCGUGAGGGAAAGGCGAAAAGAACCCCGGCGAGGGGAGUGAAAAAGAACCUGAAACCGUGUACGUACAAGCAGUGGGAGCACCCUUUGGGUGUGACUGCGUACCUUUUGUAUAAUGGGUCAGCGACUUAUAUUCUGUAGCAAGGUUAACCGAAUAGGGGAGCCGGAGGGAAACCGAGUCUUAAUUGGGCGUUAAGUUGCAGGGUAUAGACCCGAAACCCGGUGAUCUAGCCAUGGGCAGGUUGAAGGUUGGGUAACACUAACUGGAGGACCGAACCGACUAAUGUUGAAAAAUUAGCGGAUGACCUGUGGCUGGGGGUGAAAGGCCAAUCAAACCGGGAGAUAGCUGGUUCUCCCCGAAAGCUAUUUAGGUAGCGCCUCGUGAAUUCAUCUCCGGGGGUAGAGCACUGUUUCGGCUAGGGGGCCAUCCCGGCUUACCAACCCGAUGCAAACUGCGAAUACCGGAGAAUGUUAUCACGGGAGACACACGGCGGGUGCUAACGUCCGUCGUGAAGAGGGAAACAACCCAGACCGCCAGCUAAGGUCCCAAAGUCAUGGUUAAGUGGGAAACGAUGUGGGAAGGCCCAGACAGCCAGGAUGUUGGCUUAGAAGCAGCCAUCAUUUAAAGAAAGCGUAAUAGCUCACUGGUCGAGUCGGCCUGCGCGGAAGAUGUAACGGGGCUAAACCAUGCACCGAAGCUGCGGCAGCGACACUGUGUGUUGUUGGGUA